CACCAGUUGAGGAGUGGCUUUGCUAUAAUUCUUCACCCCAAAGUCAGAUUUAAAGCCUUCGAGGUUUCCAACUUAAUUUGAGCUGAAUUUGUGACCUUGGGGACUGGGUUAGAAGGUGUUUCAACCUGGGCGAGGCUGCGAUUGACUUUCAGAUUAUCUUUGG